GAUGAACGCUGGCGGCGUGCCUAAUACAUGCAAGUCGAGCGAACAGAUGAGGAGCUUGCUCCUCUGACGUUAGCGGCGGACGGGUGAGUAACACGUGGAUAACCUACCUAUAAGACUGGGAUAACUUCGGGAAACCGGAGCUAAUACCGGAUAAUAUAUUGAACCGCAUGGUUCAAUAGUGAAAGACGGUUUUGCUGUCACUUAUAGAUGGAUCCGCGCCGCAUUAGCUAGUUGGUAAGGUAACGGCUUACCAAGGCAACGAUGCGUAGCCGACCUGAGAGGGUGAUCGGCCACACUGGAACUGAGACACGGUCCAGACUCCUACGGGAGGCAGCAGUGUGGAAUCUUCCGCAAUGGGCGAAAGCCUGACGGAGCAACGCCGCGUGAGUGAGGAAGGUCUUCGGAUCGUAAAACUCUGUUAUUAGGGAAGAACAAAUGUGUAAGUAACUAUGCACGUCUUGACGGUACCUGAUCAGAAAGCCACGGCUAACUACGUG
rnacentral:rRNA from 1 species